AUUAAGGUGGCAGAGACCGGACAACUGCAGGAGGCCUAAGACCUCCCCACAGGGGUUCAAAUCCUCUCCUUAAUU
rnacentral:tRNA from 1 species